CAGUCGCCGCGGUAAUACGUAGGGUGCGAGCGUUAUCCGGAUUCACUGGGUUUAAAGGGUGCGUAGGCGGGCAGGUAAGUCAGUGGUGAAAUCUUCGAGCUUAACUCGGAAACUGCCGUUGAUACUAUCUGUCUUGAAUAACGUUGAGGUGAGCGGAAUAUGUCAUGUAGCGGUGAAAUGCUUAGAUAUGACAUAGAACACCGAUUGCGAAGGCAGCUCACUAAACGCUCAUUGACGCUGAGGCACGAAAGCGUGGGGAUCAAACAGGAUUAGAUACCCCAGUAGUCCCUGUCUCUUAUAC
rnacentral:rRNA from 1 species